GAGUUUGAUCCUGGCUCAGAUUGAACGCUGGCGGCAGGCCUAACACAUGCAAGUCGAGCGGUAGAGAGAAGCUUGCUUCUCUUGAGAGCGGCGGACGGGUGAGUAAUGCCUAGGAAUCUGCCUGGUAGUGGGGGAUAACGCUCGGAAACGGACGCUAAUACCGCAUACGUCCUACGGGAGAAAGCAGGGGACCUUCGGGCCUUGCGCUAUCAGAUGAGCCUAGGUCGGAUUAGCUAGUUGGUGAGGUAAUGGCUCACCAAGGCGACGAUCCGUAACUGGUCUGAGAGGAUGAUCAGUCACACUGGAACUGAGACACGGUCCAGACUCCUACGGAGGCAGCAGUGGGGAAUAUUGGACAAUGGGCGAAAGCCUGAUCCAGCCAUGCCGCGUGUGUGAAGAAGGUCUUCGGAUUGUAAAGCACUUUAAGUUGGGAGGAAGGCAGUAAAUUAAUACUUGCUGUUUGACGUUACCGACAGAAUAAGCACCGGCUAACUCUGUGCCAGCCGCC
rnacentral:rRNA from 1 species